CUGGGUGGCGACGGCAGCCGCCCCUUUAUCGGCUUCCUCGUUGCCGUGUAGCCCGGUGUGCGAGAUCACUUUAAUUAGAGCGGUGGGUGCGCCCCGGGCGUGGCGUGCAUGGAGCAAUGCCACGAUUGAAUCCAGGAGGUCCCGAUGUUUACUCAGAUGCAGUCGCCGAGGCUCGUUAAUAGCUCGUUUGAUUAGGUACAAGCUUGCAACAGAAUCUGAUGCAAUAGUGAGCUUCUUGGUUGCAAAUUCUUUACCUUCGCCACCAAAUUCUGCGAGGGCAGCACGAAUUGCUGCCAAUUCAGCUCUCGUAAUAGUGUUAGUGCACCCAGCGCCAUUUGGAUUCACGUAGACAACGCGAGAAUCGCUGAACCAGGCGCAGGCGCCGGCAACCUGGACUUCUUUGCCAUUGUCAGUUUUGAUUUUGCUUACCGAACCAUCUGUCCAGACAGUGCCAUUCACGUCGUGGGCCAGAGCAUGGUGGGUCUGGAAUCGCGCGUUAGGAAAGCGUCGUGCUUCUUCAGCCAUGGCGUGUAUCGUCUUUGGGUUAGCGUGCUGGUAUUUGGCUUGCUUUAGAAGUGAGUUUGGGAGGGCCGGGCAGGUCGGGGCCGUGGCCGUGUGUGUCCACGUGCGCGGGUCGCUGAUGUGCGUGGGUGCGUUCGCCCCCCGUUUCAGUGUGUCCACGAGCCGUUUCAGGCGGGGGGCAAAGCACUGGAAACCGGCGGGGUUCCCAACAAUGACCAGUCGGAGCCCCUUCUGGCGUUCAGCCUGGGUGUUGGUGCCAAGUCCUGUGUCAAGGCCCGCGGUGCCCGCGGACCAGUUGGCCAGCUCGUGGCAAAGUGGGUGUUGAAGCCACUGCGUGUGGGGGAAGUGGCCGCUUUGGGAAGCGCCAAUACAGUAAGGGUUGGUUCCUGUGAGUCACGCAUAGCCUCGGCGCAUGCGAGGGCCCACAUGAGCGCCUUCCGUGCAUCGUGGGGGGUAGAGGGGGGGUGGGCAUAUUGCAAGCCGGUCCAUGCGGUCUGGUAGGCAUCGUGCAAUGCGCCAAAGGCCCCAUCAGCAGGGUCUCGUGUCCAGUAUUCGUGGGCUGCAGUGGAGGAGUUUAGUGGGGACGCAAACAUUUCCCGAAUGUGUACUGUUUGUGUGACCCGCAGGCAUUGGACAAUGGCUGCUACUGUACCUGCCGGCAGCGACACCUGGUGCAUUGGCAUGGCCUUGUGUUGUGGAACUAAUGCGUACGUAGACCAGAGCGGAAGGCGGAGUGGGCUUGCAGGCGGCACGAGAGUAGGCAGUCAGUAGCGCAAGUUGCGAAUUCACAUGUUACCUCGUAACCGACGGUAAACGCUGUGGACGGUCGCGCCCAUGGCUGGCUGACGGGAGGUGGCUGCUGUAUUGGGAUGGCUGGGCUGGACGACGCCGGCCGGGCUGGCGUUGGGACUACCAGAAAGGAUGCGCCCAAAACCAACCUGGAGAACACCAGCGCCACCAUUAGUAGGGAAACAAAAGGCGGAAGCCAGCGUGUCGGACAGACCUGGACUGGGCUACAUAGGCUGGGCACUUGCAGCACGCCCGCCGGCCUGACUGCGUGCCAGCUUACUGGUUAUGCUGGUGGCCAAUCACCGGAUCGCUAACUCAGUUAGCGAUUUGACUCGUCCUUACGGCAGAAGGGACCCGGGUACAAAUCCGGAUAAAAGCCCAAUUACGCAAAAGGCGAAAGAUUGGUGCGAAACCGAUUGGUGAUCCCACGAACAAUAGGUAAUUGCCCUUAGUGGCAAUUGUGGGCUUACGCCCGCUGCAACCUAGAAAGGUCGUGGUGCAGAAGUCCGAUUUAGUGGCGAGGUCCAAGGUUCAAGACAAGUUCAAGAUCCAAGGCUCGAGGAGGAGCGCCAUGGCUCCUCGGUUUGCACGAACUGGCAGUGCUCCACUACUAUAACGCGGCGUUUCCCUAGCUCGAUAUGCUAGGUGUGCAGGCUUGGAUGUAGUGGACUUUGAAGAGCGGCCUAGGACUUGGCGGUUGUAGUUUCGGAGGUUGUGACUCUUUCGUGGUGAGGCGUCAGCGUGAGGGGGGCGGGCCCUCUCGCCCUAGUCACCUUGCCCCGUUAAUCCAUGCCAGGCCCUAUGGGCCGGCGUUGUAAUUAUUAUUAUUAUUAUUAUGCUGGUGGCC
rnacentral:lncRNA from 1 species